UGGCGAACGGGUGAGUAACGCGUGAGGAACCUGCCUCAAAGAGGGGGACAACAGUUGGAAACGACUGCUAAUACCGCAUAAGCCCACGGGUCGGCAUCGACCUGAGGGAAAAGGAGCAAUCCGCUUUGAGAUGGCCUCGCGUCCAAUUAGCUAGUUGGUGAGGUAACGGCCCACCAAGGCGACGAUCGGUAGCCGGACUGAGAGGUUGAACGGCCACAUUGGGACUGAGACACGGCCCAG
rnacentral:rRNA from 1 species